AUCUACUGCCAUAGCACACUGAUCUGGGAAGCUAAGCAGGAUCAGGCCAGGUCAGUACUUAAAUGGGAGACUACCUGGGAAUACUGGGUGCAAUAGUCU
ensembl:rRNA 5S_rRNA 5S ribosomal RNA